rnacentral:rRNA from 1 species
AGCGAACGCUGGCGGCAGGCCUAACACAUGCAAGUCGAACGAACUCUUCGGAGUUAGUGGCGGACGGGUGAGUAACACGUGGGAACGUGCCUUUUGGUUCGGAAUAACUCAGGGAAACUUGUGCUAAUACCGAAUGUGCCCUUCGGGGGAAAGAUUUAUCGCCAUUAGAGCGGCCCGCGUCUGAUUAGCUAGUUGGUGAGGUAACGGCUCACCAAGGCGACGAUCAGUAGCUGGUCUGAGAGGAUGACCAGCCACACUGGGACUGAGACACGGCCCAGACUCCUACGGGAGGCAGCAGUGGGGAAUCUUGCGCAAGGGGCGAAAGCCUGACGCAGCCAUGACGCGUGAAUGAUGAAGGUCUUAGGAUUGUAAAAUUCUUUCACCGGGGACGAUAAUGACGGUACCCGGAGAAGAAGCCCCGGCUAACUUCGUG